rnacentral:rRNA from 1 species
UUACAGAUUGGCCGUCUACACUGCCUGCUUCCUUGGUGGGAAGAUGCUACUGUUAAUUUUAUGAUUACUGGAGGUUAUAAUGUCCUAAACCAAAUAAAGCAGGCAAAGCAAAAAUGCCUGGUCUUAUGGGGAGAGGAUGAUGGGAUAAUUAGCAAUAAGCAAGCAUACCGGUUACAGCAGGAGCUCCCCAGGGCAAUUCUAGGACAGGUAGGGCAGUGCGGCCACAUUCCCCAUGUCGAGAAGCCGAGGGAGGCGGCAAAGCAUGUGCUUGACUUCCUCGGAAGCGAUAGCGUGGACAAGGCGGAC